UACGUAGGGGGCAAGCGUUGUCCGGAAUCAUUGGGCGUAAAGAGCGUGUAGGCGGCCCGAUAAGUCCGCCGUGAAAGUCCAGGGCUCAACCCUGGAAUGCCGGUGGAAACUGUCGUGCUGGAGUCCGGAAGAGGCGAGUGGAAUUCCUGGUGUAGCGGUGAAAUGCGCGGAUAUCAGGAGGAACACCGGUGGCGAAGGCGGGUCUCUGGGCCGAUACUGACGCUGAGGCGCGAAAGCGUGGGGAGCAAACAGG
rnacentral:rRNA from 1 species